GGGGAGAUUCCCAAGCGGCCAAAGGGAUCAGACUGUAAAUCUGACGGCAAUGCCUUCGGAGGUUCGAAUCCUCCUCUCCCCACCA
rnacentral:tRNA from 1 species